rnacentral:rRNA from 1 species
GAGUUUGAUCAUGGCUCAGAUUGAACGCUGGCGGCAGGCCUAACACAUGCAAGUCGAGCGGAUGACGGGAGCUUGCUCCUUGAUUCAGCGGCGGACGGGUGAGUAAUGCCUAGGAAUCUGCCUGGUAGUGGGGGACAACGUUUCGAAAGGAACGCUAAUACCGCAUACGUCCUACGGGAGAAAGCAGGGGACCUUCGGGCCUUGCGCUAUCAGAUGAGCCUAGGUCGGAUUAGCUAGUUGGUGGGGUAAUGGCUCACCAAGGCGACGAUCCGUAACUGGUCCGAGAGGAUGAUCAGUCACACUGGAACUGAGACACGGUCCAGACUCCUACGGGAGGCAGCAGUGGGGAAUAUUGGACAAUGGGCGAAAGCCUGAUCCAGCCAUGCCGCGUGUGUGAAGAAGGUCUUCGGAUUGUAAAGCACUUUAAGUUGGGAGGAAGGGCAGUAAGUUAAUACCUUGCUGUUUUGACGUUACCGACAGAAUAAGCACCGGCUAACUCUGUGCCAGCCGCCGACGG